CCUACGGGAGGCUGCAGUGGGGAAUAUUGGACAAUGGGCGCAAGCCUGAUCCAGCAAUGCCGCGUGUGUGAAGAAGGCCUUAGGGUUGUAAAGCACUUUCAGUGGGGAGAUGUUACCCACAGAAGAAGCACCGGCUAACUCUGUGCCAGCAGCCGCGGUAAUACAGAGGGUGCAAGCGUUAAUCGGAAUUACUGGGCGUAAAGGGUGUGUAGGUGGUUGUAUAAGUUAGAUGUGAAAUCCCCGGGCUCAACCUGGGAAUUGCGUUUAAAACUGUAUAGCUAGAGUAUUGUAGAGGAUAGUGGAAUUUCCAGUGUAGCGGUGAAAUGCGUAGAUAUUGGAAGGAACACCAGUGGCGAAGGCGACUAUCUGGCAAUACUGACACUGAGACACGAGAGCAUGGGGAGCAAACAGGAUUAGAUACCCUUGUAGUC
rnacentral:rRNA from 1 species